ACAAAGCAGUGAUGUGGAGCAAAACUCGAAAAGCAGUCUUAGUUCGGAUUGUAGGCUGCAACUCGCCUACAUGAAGUCGGAAUUGCUAGUAAUCGCGGAUCAGCAUGCCGCGGUGAAUACGUUCCCGGGCCUUGUACACACCGCCCGUCACACCAUGAGAGUUGGAGAUACCCGAAGCCUAUGAGCUAACUUUUAGAGGCAGUAGUCGAAGGUAGAAUCAAUGAUUGGGGUGAAGUCGUAACAAGGUAAC
rnacentral:rRNA from 1 species